UACGGAGGGUGCAAGCGUUAUCCGGAUUCACUGGGCUUAAAGGGCGCGUAGGCGGGUGCUCAAGUCCGGGGUGAAAUCCUCCAGCUCAACUGGAGAACUGCCUCGGAUACUGGGUGCCUCGAGUGUGGUAGGGGUGUGCGGAACUAUCGGUGGAGCGGUGAAAUGCGUUGAUAUCGAUAGGAACUCCGGUGGCGAAGGCGGCACACUGGACCACAACUGACGCUGAGGCGCGAAAGCCAGGGGAGCAAACGGG
rnacentral:rRNA from 1 species